UAAUCGCGUAUCAGAAUGACGCGGUGAAUACGUUCCCGGGCCUUGUACACACCGCCCGUCACACCAUGGGAGUGGGUUGCUCCAGAAGUAGAUAGUCUAACCCUCGGGAGGACGUUUACCACGGAGUGAUUCAUGACUGGGGUGAAGUCGUAACAAGGUAGCCCUAGGGGAACCUGGGGCUGGAUCACCUCCUUAUACGA
rnacentral:rRNA from 1 species